rnacentral:lncRNA from 1 species
AGGCAGGUGCGGAUGGGACGUAGCGAACGGCGGUGGCAGAGGGGUGGGUACUGUAGAGGUGUACGGCGCACAUGGGGGAAACUAGGGUUCUGAAACCCUAGUUUUUCAUUGGGUUUGGGCUGUAUUUGGGCCUAUUGUUUGUAUUUGGGCUGGUCCAAUUAAUUUUGUAAUGUAAUUGGGCCGUUUGGGCUGAAGUUUGUUUUGCUGGUAGGAC